rnacentral:rRNA from 1 species
CACCCGCGCCACUAGUGGCAAUCACUUUUAUUGGGUCUAAAGCGUCCGUAGCCGGUUUGAUAAGUCUCUUGUGAAAUUGUUGGGCUUAACCUAACAACGUGCAAGGGAAACUAUCAGACUUGAGACUGGGAGGAGGUAGAAGUAUUCUGAGGGUAGCGGUAAAAUGUUAUAAUCCUCGGAGGACUACCAGUGGCGGAGGCGUCUACCUAGAACAGGUCUGACGGUGAGGGACGAAGGCCAGGGGAGCAAAACGG